rnacentral:lncRNA from 1 species
AUCAAUUCAAGUAGUGUUCUCCAUAUUAAAGUUCUUCCUUCUCUUUUCAUAGCUUCCUCUUCUUAGUUGAUUCUUUCGAUCUUAGUCAAUGAUCUUGGGCUAGCAGAAGGUCUCUCUAACUACACCAUUCUUCUACUAUUCUCUAUAGUCGAAGCACGACAUAAUUUACAAGGUCCGCUUCUGCUCACAAGGACUUUCCAAUCUGGAUCCCUGAAGAUACUGGCAAAUUUACAUGUAAAUCAGCUUGGAGUAAGGGUGUUAAGUGGGCCGGCUCAAUCCAGAAUCGGCCCAUUAAAAUUAUUCGGGUGUGGGCAAGGCCAGGUCCGGGUUGGGGUUAAGUGGGCCGGGCUCAACAGUAAACUUUUAAAAAACAACCCUAACCCGAUCCACUUAACCCAACCCGGUCAAACCCACCUAAACCCGGUCAAACCAGAUAAAAAAUAAAAAUAAAAACUUUUUUUCAAUAUACACUAUAUAUACCCACCUAUAAACAUUUUAAAUAUGUUAAACAAUAUAUAUACACUAUAUAUCUAGUAUAUACUACAUUAGAAUUUAAAAAAUAUAUACUCAUAUACACAAUUACACAUAUAUACG